GAUGAACGCUGGCGGCGUGCCUAAUACAUGCAAGUCGUGCGGCAGCGAGCCCUUCGGGGUGUCGGCGAGCGGCGGACGGCUGAGUAACACGUAGGAACAUACCCCAAAGUGAGGGAUAACUGCUCGAAAGAGUAGCUAAUACCGCAUGUGGUCUAAGGAUUAAAGCUUCGGCGCUUUGGGAAUGGCCUGCGUUCGAUUAGCUAGAUGGUGAGGUAAAGGCUCACCAUGGCGACGAUCGAUAGCUGGUCUGAGAGGAUGAUCAGCCAGACUGGGACUGAGACACGGCCCAGACUCCUACGGGAGGCAGCAGUAGGGAAUUUUGGACAAUGGGCGCAAGCCUGAUCCAGCAAUGCCGCGUGCAGGAUGAAGGCCUUCGGGUUGUAAACUGCUUUUGUCAGGGAAGAAAUCCUUUGGGUUAAUACCUCGGAGGGAUGACGGUACCUGAAGAAUAAGCACCGGCUAAC
rnacentral:rRNA from 1 species